rnacentral:lncRNA from 1 species
UGGGAUUACAGGCAUGAGCCACCGCGCCUGGCCUUAAGAUUUUUUUCAUAAGCAAUCAUGUCACGUGCAAAUAGACAGUGUAUUCAUUUCUGGUCUGUGCUGUUCUUUUUUUUCUCAUCUUAUUGCAAUUGCUGUGUGACCUCCAGGACAGUGUUGAAUGAAAGUGAUAAAUGUAGGCACCCUUGUUUUGCUUUCAGUCUUAGGAGGAAAGACUUAGUGGGGAGGAAGUGGCAACUCUGAGUCAGGAUGUAGACUUCUUAGCAUAUGCAUUUGCACAUCUUGCUCAAAUCCCAGAUUUCCCUAUACCCUCUAUGCUCCCUUUAAAACAAUGCUUUCUUUCCACAGUAUCUUUCCCCCAAGUCAAUAAUGGGUCAAAUUUCAGCAGUCCCAAACUGGGGAAGUUCUGGGACUGCUGUGGUAAGAAAUGGAUUCAGACACCAAAGGAGCUGUAGGACCUGGCUAACAUGUACAAGCAAGAACCAGAAGAGUAUACCUGGGAGGAGAUCCUGAGAUUACUGCAUCAUUAGGUAGAAUACAAAGUUGAAUAGGGGAGAGUUUUUUGCUAUGGGGUCACUGUAUGACAGGAUUAACACACUGGCAAGGGAAAAAGAUGCUUCUAAUGGAUGCUGGGACAGUUUUUGAAGCUUGGAAAAAGCAUUGGUUCUCAUUAAAUAAAAUGAAGAUAGCAGAAUUGCCAUGACAAAUGAGGAUGGGAUCAAAAGAAGUGGAUAUACAAGGGAGAACAAGCGUCAUGGAGAUGGCCAAUAGUAGCUGUCCCCUAGGCGAGGGCUGGCUGCAAGAGGUGCUGUUAAGGAACUGGGCUCUCUAGUUGCAAUGGGAAUGAUAGGAUCUCAGAAUAAUGGCAGCCAGGUGAUAGCUCUUAGCAUCAAACGCAAGGAGGGCCAUAAUUACCAUAUGGGUAGAAGGCUUAGAAUAGAAUCUGGGGAGAUUGAUCUUCAGAAAUCUAUGGUUCUGGCUCAUAGCACAUGAGUUUGCCAAUGGCAAGUCAUCUGCUUCCAAUAAGAGUAAACUUAUUGAGACAAGGGGUUGCUCCGUUGCCCAGGCUGGAGUACAUGGCAUGAUCACAGCUCAACUGCAACCUUGAACUCCUGGGCUCAAAUAAUCCUCUCACCUCAGCCUCCCAAGUAGUUGGGACUACAGGAAGCUGAGGUAGGAGGACUGCUUGAAUGGGAGGUUGAGGCUUCAGUGAGCCAUGGCUGUGCCACUGCACUCCAGUUUGAGAUGCCAUCUCAAAAAACAAAACAAAAAAACCAGACAGUAAAUAUAGGUGUUGUGGCCAUAUAGUCUCUGUGGCAACUACUCAGCUCUGCUGUAGUGAAACCAAAGCAGUCGUAGACCAUAAAUGCAAUGUGUCACUCAGACUUUAUAAAGCAGGUAGCGGGCUGGAUUUGGUUUUUAUACCCUGCACUAGGCAAAAUGGGAUAUUAUGUAAAGAUAAAGGUAUAAUUCAUAAAUAGAGGGUUAGUAGUAUGUCCCUGUAAGUCAAACAAUAUAAAUUAAAAAGCGUAAAUGUCUGGAAACUCAAGGUGUUGGCAACAUUUUUUUAGGAAAUUCUGAUCCAGCAUACCAAAUUAUAUGAAAACAUGGAGAUUUUUACUAUUGCAAUCUAGUGGCUUAAUGGACUUAUUUAGAAACUUGUAUCCAAAAAUGCAGAAUACAUAUUUUUUCAAUGUUCAUGGUAUACAGAAAUCAAUCUUGUAUUUAACCACACACACACACACACACACAGUCAAACUGGGUGGCACAGCGGCUCAUGCCUGUAAUCCCAGCACUUAUAGGAAGUGCUGGGAGGCCGAGGCGGGUGGAUCACAAAGGUCAGGAAAUCCAGACCAUCCUGGCCAACAUGGUGAAACCUCAUCUCUACUAAAAACACAAAAAUUAGCUGGGCAUGGUAGCGUGCACCUGUAGUCCCAGCUACUGGGGAGACUGGGGCAGGAGAAUCGCUUGAACCCGGGAGGCAGAGGUUGUGCCACUGCACUGCAGCCUGGUGACAGAGCGAGACUCCAUCUCCAAAAAAAGAGUAAAAUUCAAAAAGUAGAUAACUUCAGGCCACAUUUACCAACCAUAAUAAAAUUAAAUUAGAUAUUAUAUCACUUAGGAUGCUUUUGGCUGCGAAUUUACAAAAUAUCCAACUAAAACUAACUGAGCAAUCAAGUUUUAUUUUUCUCAGAUAACAAGGCAUCAAAAAGGCAGUUCCAGAAUUGGCCUAGUAGCUGAGUCUUCUCAGGCUCUGGGUCAGCUUCUCUGAGGUCCACUUUUUUCUCUUCUUGGUUCCAAGACAGCUGCAGCAGCUUCAGGCAUCAUGUUCUUAUAUAAAAAUGUUUAAAAGCAGGAAGUGAGAGAGGAGGAAGUCUUCAUGAUAAACCUGUCUCUUCUGAAUGAGGAAAAUCUUUCCCAGAAGCCCCGGCAGAUUCCACUGAGCAACACUGGGAGAUACUGGCCAUACUGUGCUGCACAGGAGACUGGAAAAUUAGCAUCUGAUAUUCUCAGAGUCCAAGGCAAGACACAGAUGCUGCCAAUAACAAGGGGAAUUGGGUAUGGCUGCUGGGAUGACAACCAAUGGUUGUCUGUGCCAGUCACAUAAAACAAUGUAACAAUGUGGAAAUUAAGAAAUAUUCUCCUAAAUUUAGAUUAUUUCUGGAUCAGAAAGAAACAAAAACUGAGAUUAUUGUAAGAUGGUCUCUUUAUUUCAUCAUUUUCUGUUACUUUCUUCUUUCACUGCCUGGAUGUUUGGUAGACUUGAAUAGCAUGUUUAGUGCAUAUGAGUUUAUCUUUCAGAUUUUCAUGUAUAUGCAUGCAUUCAAAGGCUAUAAAAAUUCCUCCAGUGUAGCUUUGGCUUUCCCCUUACCCUCACAUCUCUUUGGCCACAUUUCACAUCUCUUGGCAUGUUAAACUCUCAAUUCAUUCUUUUCAUUACCAUUUAUGGUAAUUGCAUGAUUUCUUUGUUAAGCAAAUGAUAAUCUGGCUGUUUUUUUAACUUGUAAGAAAACUAUAACUUUUGCUCUUGAUAAAAUUACUACACUGUGGUUAGAAAAUGUGGUUCUGGAAUGUGUUAGAAAUAAAAUUUCUCCCAACCUUUCCCAGCAUUUUUGACAAUUAUGAUCUGAACAAUUUACAUCCAUAAAAUUUUCUUUGAUAUGAAUUUUCAGACUUAGGAUAAAGGCUUACCUCUGAAUGAAGGCAUUGUCACUGGCAUUACAUUCUUCAAGUCUUUCUCCAAGAGGGAGAAGUAAGUCACAGUCACAAUUAGCCUAGGCUAAUGGGCUUUCCCCAUUACUUCCAUUCAUAUGGUUGCUUGCCAACAUAAAUUCUC